GUUAAAAUGAUGAUAAAUUGUCACUGAAUAUUGCGACUCAAUCUAUUUUGGAGAGAGUUGCGAUCUCAUAGGAUGUUCGCUGUUGCGAGGCAUUUGCCUGAUUUUAAA
rfam:Drosophila virilis strain TSC#15010-1051.87 Ctg01_14972, whole genome shotgun sequence.